rnacentral:tRNA from 1 species
GGGGGCAGUGGUGCUGGGCACCCCGCGGGCUGCAAACCCGUUGGCCUCGUCUAAAAACCGAGGAGGAGGUUCGAUUCCCCCUGCCCCCUCCA